AUUGAACGCUGGCGGAAUGCUUUACACAUGCAAGUCGAACGGCAGCACGGGGCAACCUGGUGGCGAGUGGCGAACGGGUGAGUAAUACAUCGGAACGUGCCCAAUCGUGGGGGAUAACGUAGCGAAAGUUACGCUAAUACCGCAUACGAUCUACGGAUGAAAGCGGGGGAUCGCAAGACCUCGCGCGAGUGGAGCGGCCGAUGUCAGAUUAGGUAGUUGGUGGGGUAAAGGCUCACCAAGCCAACGAUCUGUAGCUGGUCUGAGAGGACGACCAGCCACACCUGGAACUGAGACACGGUCCAGACUCCUACGGGAGGCAGCAGUGGGGAAUUUUGGACAAUGGGCGCAAGCCUGAUCCAGCCAUUCCGCGUGCAGGAUGAAGGCCUUCGGGUUGGUAAACU
rnacentral:rRNA from 1 species